UACGGAGGGGGCAAGCGUUGUUCGGAAUUACUGGGCGUAAAGGGCGCGCAGGCGGCUGCUCAAGUCAGGCGUGAAAGGCCUGGGCUCAACCCGGGAAUUGCGCUUGAGACUGGGCUGGCUUGAGUGCGGGAGAGGAUGGUGGAAUUCCCAGUGUAGAGGUGAAAUGCGUAGAUAUCUGGAGGAACACCGGUGGCGAAGGCGGCGUUCUGGACUGUAACUGACACUGAUGAACGAAAGCCAGGGGAGCAAACGGG
rnacentral:rRNA from 1 species